UGGACGAUUAGCUCAGCGGGAGAGCGCUUCCCUGACACGGAAGAGGUCACUGGUUCAAUCCCAGUAUCGUCCACCC
rnacentral:tRNA from 1 species